GGGAUUGCCUCAGUAACGGCGAGUGAAGCGGCAACAGCUCAAAUUUGAAAUCUGGCCCCUUCGGGGUCCGAGUUGUAAUUUGUAGAGAGUGUUUCGGGUGAGGCCACGGUCUAAGUCCAUUGGAACAUGGCGUCAUAGAGGGUGAGAAUCCCGUAUGUGACUGUGGCUCGAGCCCAUGUGAAGCCUCUUCGACGAGUCGAGUUGUUUGGGAAUGCAGCUCAAAAUGGGUGGUAAAUUUCAUCUAAAGCUAAAUAUUGGCUGGAGACCGAUAGCGCACAAGUAGAGUGAUCGAAAGAUGAAAAGCACUUUGGAAAGAGAGUCAAAAAGUACGUGAAAUUGUUGAAAGGGAAGCGCUUGCAACCAGACCUGUCCGUAGGUGAUCAGCCGCUGUUCUCAGUGGUGCACUCGCUCUGCGAUCAGGCCAGCAUCGGUUCGGGCGGCCGGAUAAAGGCCUUGGGAAUGUAGCUUCCCUCGGGAAGUCUUAUAGCCCUCGGUGCAAUGCGGCCAGCCGGGACCGAGGACCGCGCUUCGGCUAGGAUGCUGGCGUAAUGGUUGUAAGCGACCCGUCUUGAAACACGGACCAAGGAGUCUAACAUCUAUGCGAGUGUUUGGGUGUCAAACCCAUGCGCGGAAUGAAAGUGAACGGAGGUGAGAACCCUUAAGGGCGCAUCAUCGACCGAUCCAGAUGUCUUCGGAUGGAUUUGAGUAUGAGCAUAGCUGUUGGGACCCGAAAGGUACGUUCGAAUUCCCCCCCCUCCCCUUGAUGUAUAUAGAAAUUAAGCUAACUUGUCCGACAGAUGGUGAACUAUGCCUGAAUAGGGUGAAGCCAGAGGAAACUCUGGUGGAGGCUCGCAGCGGUUCUGACGUGCAAAUCGAUCGUCAAA
rnacentral:rRNA from 1 species